CGGCCAGACUCCUACGGGAGGCAGCAGUGGGGAAUAUUGGGCAAUGGGCGCAAGCCUGACCCCGCAACGCCGCGUGACGGAAGAAGGCUUUCGGGUUGUAAACUUCUUUUCUCAGGGCCGCAGCAAGUGCCGGUCCCUGGGGAAUAAGCCACGGCUAACUACGUGCCAGCAGCCGCGGUAAUACGUAGGUGGCAAGCGUUCUCCGGACUUACUGGGUGUAAAGGGCGUGUAGGCGGGACUGCAGGUCAGAUGUGAAAUCCACGGGCUCAACCUGUGGCCUGCAUUUGAAACUGUAGUUCUUGAGUACUGGAGAGGCAGACGGAAUUCCUAGUGUAGCGGUGAAAUGCGGAGAUAUUAGGAGGAACACCAGUGGCGAAGGCGGUCUGCUGGACAGCAACUGACGCUGAGGCGCGAAAGCGUGGGGAGCAAACAGGAUUAGAUACCCCAGUAUA
rnacentral:rRNA from 1 species